GAUGAACGCUGGCGGCGUGCCUAAUACAUGCAAGUCGAGCGAACGGACGAGAAGCUUGCUUCUCUGAUGUUAGCGGCGGACGGGUGAGUAACACGUGGAUAACCUACCUAUAAGACUGGGAUAACUUCGGGAAACCGUAGCUAAUACCGGAUAAUAUUUUGAACCGCAUGGUUCAAAAGUGAAAGACGGUCUUGCUGUCACUUAUAGAUGGAUCCGCGCUGCAUUAGCUAGUUGGUAAGGUAACGGCUUACCAAGGCAACGAUGCAUAGCCGACCUGAGAGGGUGAUCGGCCACACUGGAACUGAGACACGGUCCAGACUCCUACGGGAGGCAGCAGUAGGGAAUCUUCCGCAAAGGGCGAAAGCCUGACGGAGCAACGCCGCGUGAGUGAUGAAGGUCUUCGGAUCGUAAAACCCUGUUAUUAGGGAAGAACAUAUGUGUAAGUAACUGUGCACAUCUUGACGGUACCUAAUCAGAAAGCCACGGCUAACUACGUG
rnacentral:rRNA from 1 species